GUGGUUGUAGCUCAAAUGGAAGAGCAAUCGACUUUUAAUCGAUUGGCUGCAGGUUCAAGUCCUGUCGACCACA
rnacentral:tRNA from 1 species